UGACGCUAGCGUGGUUCGGCGCGGUGCCUUUGCUAGGGCCACUGGCGAACGCCGUUGCCAUUCCGGUGAUGACAU
rnacentral:tRNA from 1 species